rnacentral:rRNA from 1 species
CUUGCUUCUCUGGAUGAGUUGCGAACGGGUGAGUAACGCGUAGGUAACCUGCCUGGUAGCGGGGGAUAACUAUUGGAAACGAUAGCUAAUACCGCAUAACAGUAGAUGUUGCAUGACAUUUGCUUAAAAGGUGCAAUUGCAUCACUACCARAUGGACCUGCGUUGUAUUAGCUAGUUGGUGGGGUAACGGCUCACCAAGGCGACGAUACAUAGCCGACCUGAGAGGGUGAUCGGCCACACUGGGACUGAGACACGGCCCAGACUCCUACGGGAGGCAGCAGUAGGGAAUCUUCGGCAAUGGACGGAAGUCUGACCGAGCAACGCCGCGUGAGUGAAGAAGGUUUUCGGAUCGUAAAGCUCUGUUGUAAGAGAAGAACGAGUGUGAGAGUGGAAAGUUCACACUGUGACGGUAUCUUACCAGAAAGGGACGGCUAACUACGUGCCAGCAGCCGCGGUAAUACGUAGGUCCCGAGCGUUGUCCGGAUUUAUUGGGCGUAAAGCGAGCGCAGGCGGUUAGAUAAGUCUGAAGUUAAAGGCUGUGGCUUAACCAUAGUACGCUUUGGAAACUGUUUAACUUGAGUGCAAGAGGGGAGAGUGGAAUUCCAU